GGCCCUAGAAAUCGCUCUGCAAAAUGCAUAUUUUUCCCUUCUACUGUUAAUCUGCUCGACGAUGGAGCUCUCGCUCUCGCUCUCCUAUAGCAGAGGAGGAACUUGCCCUUCUCCAUAUCAGCUAAAUCUGUUAUUGCAUGGAGCUAAACAACAUAUAAGUUGGCAAUAUACUCCGUAUUUAUUUUCUCCAAUCAGGAAGCCUACAAAAUUCUCUUGGCAGCAAAAAUGGCAUCUUGGAAUAAGACAUAGCUGCCAAAAGGUUGUGUCUUAUAACAAACAAGGCAUUCCUAUUUUGGAAGCAAGAUCUAUUGAAGAGAUAUAUGAUGAUCUAGGAGAACGUGUCCUUUCUAUCACAAGAACAAUGAAUCAUUUUGAUAAAAAGUACAUCGUUGGUUUGGCUGGCCCUCCUGGUGCUGGUAAGAGCACUUUAGCUGCCGAAGUUGUUCAGCGCCUGAACUUCAUUUCAUACAAUAAAGAUGCAAUAGCUGUUGUUCUUCCAAUGGAUGGAUUCCAUCUUUAUAGAUCUCAACUGGAUGCUAUGGAGGACCCAGAGGAAGCUCAUGCAAGAAGAGGAGCACCCUGGACAUUUAAUCCAGAUCUUCUCUUGAAAUGCCUUUGCUCUUUGAGGAGUCAGGGAUGGGUGUAUGCUCCUUCAUUCGAUCACGGUGUCGGUGAUCCAGUGGAAAAUGACAUCUACAUUGGUCCUUUGCAUAAAAUAGUGAUUGUAGAAGGAAAUUAUUUAUUUCUAGAUGAAGGGGUCUGGAAGGAUGUAUGCUCCAUAUUUGAUGAAAAAUGGUUUAUUGACAUUAAUCUUGAUGCUUCUAUGCAAAGAGUUCUGAAAAGACAUAUUGCAACAGGAAAGGAGCCUGAUGUAGCAAAAUGGAGGAUUGAUUAUAACGACCGACCAAAUGCAGAACUCAUCUUAAAAUCUAAGCAUAAGGCAGAUCUUAUAAUUAAGUCUGUAAACUUCCAAAGCUGAAGGUUCAAACUAAAAAGCACAAUCUGAUGCUACAGUAGUGCUUGAUGCCUGGAGCUGGCUCCCCAAGCACUUGUUGCAGAGUUAUUGAAGAAAAUGAGAGGACGGUAAAGAAACUGGGGGCACGUAAAAAAUACAAUCAUCACUAUCAUUUUAAAAGUGAAAUACACAUUUUCAUGCACAAGUUUAUGACAAUUAAGAUUUAUAUGUAACAUCAUGAGAAUUGGGUAGUAUGUAUGGAAAUUUCCCAAGAAACUAUGGGAUCAAAUUAUAGAAUGAAUCAAAU